AUUGAACGCUGGCGGCAGGCCUAACACAUGCAAGUCGAGCGGAGCGGCGGACGGGUGAGUAAUGCCUAGGAAUCUGCCUGGUAGUGGGGGAUAACGUCCGGAAACGGGCGCUAAUACCGCAUACUAUCAGAUGAGCCUAGGUCGGAUUAGCUAGUUGGUGGGGUAAAGGCCUACCAAGGCGACGAUCCGUAACUGGUCUGAGAGGAUGAUCAGUCACACGGGAACUGGGACACAGUCCAGAGUCCGACGGGAGGCGGCAGUGGGGGAUAUUGCACAAUGGGCUAAAGCCUGAUGCAGCGGGGCCGCGUGGGGGAUGAAGGCUUUCGGGUUGUAAACCUCUGUCGCUAUCGAAGGGGUAGGUGGAGAAGAAGCGCCGGCUAACUACGUGCCAGCAGCCGCGGUAAUUC
rnacentral:rRNA from 1 species